GAUGAACGCUAGCGGCAGGCCUAAUACAUGCAAGUCGGACGGGAUUCGGGAGCCUGCUCCUAAUGAGAGUGGCGCACGGCGGCGUACCACGUAUGUAACCCACCUUAAUCAGGGGAAUAGCCUCCCGACAGAGAGAUUAACAACGCGUAAUAUAUUUUCAUGGCAUCGUAGAAAUAUCCAAUAUUUGUAGGGCUAAGGUGGGCCUGCGGACGAUUAGCUCGUAGGUAAGGUCACGGCUUACCAAGGCUACGAUGUUCAGGGGAUCUGAGAGGAUGACCCCCCACAGUGGUGCUGAGACACGGAGCAGACUCCGACGGGAGGCAGCAGUAAGGAAUAUUGGUCAAUGGGCGCAAGCCUGAACCAGCCAUGCCGCGUGCAGGAAGACGGCCCUAUGGGUUGUAACUGCUUUUGUACCGGAAUAAACCCUUUUACGGGUAAGAGGCUGAAUGUACGGUAAGAAUAAGGAUCGGCUAACUCCGUGCCAGCAGCCGCAGUAA
rnacentral:rRNA from 1 species